GACGGGUGAGUAAUAUAUCGGAACGUACCCUGGAGUGGGGGAUAACGUAGCGAAAGUUACGCUAAUACCGCAUACGAUCUAAGGAUGAAAGUGGGGGAUUCGCAAGAACCUCAUGCUCCUGGAGCGGCCGAUAUCUGAUUAGCUAGUUGGUAGGGUAAAAGCCUACCAAGGCAUCGAUCAGUAGCUGGUCUGAGAGGACGACCAGCCACACUGGAACUGAGACACGGUCCAGACUCCUACGGGAGGCAGCAGUGGGGAAUUUUGGACAAUGGGCGCAAGCCUGAUCCAGCAAUGCCGCGUGAGUGAAGAAGGCCUUCGGGUUGUAAAGCUCUUUUGUCAGGGAAGAAACGGAGUUUUCUAAUACAGAGAUCUAAUGACGGUACCUGAAGAAUAAGCACCGGCUAACUACGUGCCAGCAGCCGCGGUAAUACGUAGGGUGCAAGCGUUAAUCGGAAUUACUGGGCGUAAAGCGUGCGCAGGCGGUUUUGUAAGACUGUCGUGAAAUCCCCGGGCUCAACCUGGGAAUGGCGAUGGUGACUGCAAGGCUAGAGUUUGGCAGAGGGGGGUAGAAUUCCACGUGUAGCAGUGAAAUGCGUAG
rnacentral:rRNA from 1 species